UUCCGGUUGAUCCUGCCGGACCUGACUGCUAUCGGAUUGAUACUAAGCCAUGCGAGUCAUUGUAGCAAUACAAGGCAGACGGCUCAGUAACGCGUAGUCAACCUACCCUAUGGACGGGAAUAACCUCGGGAAACUGAGUAUAAUGCCCGAUAGAACAUUAUGCCUGGAAUGGUUUAUGUUCCAAAUGAUUUAUCGCCGUAGGAUGGGACUGCGUCCUAUCAGUUUGUUGGUGAGGUAAUGGCCCACCAAGACUAUUACAGGUACGGGCUCUGAGAGGAGUAGCCCGGAGAUGGGUACUGAGACACGGACCCAGGCCCUAUGGGGCGCAGCAGGCGAGAAAACUUUGCAAUGUGCGAAAGCACGACAAGGUUAAUCCGAGUGGUUUCUGCUAAAGGAACCUUUUGUUAGUCAUAAAAACACUAACGAAUAAGGGGUGGGCAAGUUCUGGUGUCAGCCGCCGCGGUAAAACCAGCACCUCAAGUGGUCAGGAUGAUUAUUGGGCCUAAAGCAUCCGUAGCCUGCCCUGUAAGUUUUCGGUUAAAUCUGUAUGCUCAACAUACAGGCCGCCGGGAAUACUGCAGGGCUAGGGAGUGGGAGAGGUAGACGGUACUCGGGAGGAAGUGGUAAAAUGCUUUGAUCUCUCGAUGACCACCUGUGGCGAAGGCGGUCUACCAGAACACGUCCGACGGUGAGGGAUGAAAGCUGGGGGAGCAAACCGGAUUAGAUACCCGGGUAGUCCCAGCCGUAAACUAUGCAAACUCAGUGAUGCAUUGGCUUGUGGCCAAUGCAGUGUUGCAGGGAAGCCGUUAAGUUUGCCGCCUGGGAAGUACGUACGCAAGUAUGAAACUUAAAGGAAUUGGCGGGGGAGCACCACAAGGGGUGAAGCCUGCGGUUCAAUUGGAGUCAACGCCGGGA
rnacentral:rRNA from 1 species